rnacentral:rRNA from 1 species
GACGAACCGUGCGAACGUUGUUCGGAAUCACUGGGCUUAAAGGGCGCGUAGGCGGCUCAUCAAGUCGGGGGUGAAUCUUUCGGCCUAACCGGAAAGUGCCUUCGAUACUGGUGAGCUUGAGCGAGGUAGGGCAGAUGGAACUUCCGGUGGAGCGGUGAAUGUGUUGAUAUCGGAAGGAACGCCGGUGGCGAAAGCGAUCUGCUGGACCUCUUCUGACGCUGAGGCGCGAAAGCUAGGGGAGCAAACGGG